rnacentral:rRNA from 1 species
UACGUAGGGUGCAAGCGUUGUCCGGGAUUAUUGGGAGUAAAGAGCUCGUAGGUGGCCUGUCGCGUCGGCUGUGAAAACUCGGGGCUCAACUCCGAGCUUGCAGUCGAUACGGGCAGGCUAGAGUUCGGCAGGGGAGACUGGAAUUCCUGGUGUAGCGGUGAAAUGCGUAGAUAUCAGGAGGAACACCGGUGGCGAAGGCGGGUCUCUGGGCCGAUACUGACACUGAGGAGCGAAAGCGUGGGGAGCGAACAGG